rnacentral:rRNA from 1 species
ACCGUUUGUAGAGCAUAAAGGUAUAAGAGGGCCUAACUGUGAGAUUAGUGUAUCGAGCAGAAACGAAAGUUGGUCUUAGUGAUCCGGCAGUGCUUAGAGGAAGGCCUGUCGCUCAACGGAUAAAAGUUACUCUAGGGAUAACAGGCUAAUCUCCUCCUAGAGUCCCUAUCGACGAGGAGGUUUGGCACCUCGAUGUCGGCUCGUCGCAUCCUGGGGCGGUAGUAGGUCCCAAGGGUUGGUCUGUUCGCCCAUGAAAGCGGCACGUGAGCUGGGUUCAGAACGUCGUGAGACAGUUCGGUCCGUAUCCAAUGUGAGCGUAAAUAAACAGAGAAGUAAUUUUUCUAGUACGAGAGGACCGAAAAAUGACUCUCCCUGGUGUACCAAUUAUUUUCAGAGUCUUUUGGUCACUCCAGAGAGGUAUUCGUUGGGUAGCUACAGAGUUCCUAAAUAACCGCUGAAAGCAUCUAAGUGGGAAGUUAGCUUUAAGACCAGUUUGUUGUAUUUUUGAUCUAAGGGCAAAGCAAGAACAGCUUAUAGAUAGUUAGCCUGUGUAAGUUUAGUAAUAAGUGUUAGCUAAGCUACCCUAACAGCAUCAAAUCUUAGAGAC